rfam:Taeniopygia guttata chromosome 11, whole genome shotgun sequence.
CCACGCACCCACAAGCACAACCCAACUCAAAUGAAAGGUUUGGGUGUACUUGUGGAUGAAUGG